ensembl:lncRNA
AUGUCCCCACUGGCUGCCUCUACGUGCUUCUUCCCAUCCCACCGCCGACCUUGGCGGUGACGACUCGUCGAGCGUUCAGGGGAACCCUGUCGAAAUAAAGUGGAGGACAUAAAGAUGGGUUAUAGUCAUGAGAUCCACCAAAGCUGCUCUUCUAAUACUCCUUGUUGUUUAAUUGACUAAUCAACACCCUCCAAAGCACAUAGUCUUUGUUCUCCCGCGCAUGCAUUCUGAGGCUUCAAAGGAAUGGAAAACGAACACACACGUGAGCGAGCGAGUGCGCGUCGUUCCGUGUCAGGAGACCAAUUACGUUUCAGAGUUGUGCUUCAAAUGAGGCACACGGAAACCACUGGCCUUCCCUCGCUUUGGCCUACCGCAAGAAAAACGAGGGAGCAAACAUCACAGCACACACGUGUCUUUUGUCUGUUACGUAAGAUCUGCCCGCGAUGACAGCUGCUUUGCUUAGCAGGUGAGGAUGUAACAAAAAUAUUGAUUUUGGACAAACAAAACGGAUGCAGACUCACUGACUGGCGAGUAAACACAAUGAAACAAUAUGUACCAAUAUUGAUUUUGAACAAACAAAUAGCAGCAACUUGUGAGUCAACAACGCGGCCUGAUUCAAAUUUAAAAUGUGAGGAGGAGAAUCUCCCCUCCCGACUCUCAGUGGAGGUAAACUCUCUCUCUCUGCGAGGGAGGUGUGUGGACAUGGGGGGAGAAAACACGUGGAAAUGCAUAAAUAUACAUGCUGUGGAUCAACAGUGCCUCCAUGCAUCCCUUAAUCCUUGAAAGGGAGUAAUCCCAGUGUGCUUGUGUACGGGGGGCUAAUCUCCCUCUUCUCUGCUACUGGGGGACUGAGGACUGGGCCCCACGCAGGUAAGCCUGAUUCCCACACCCACAACCACUAAUCCCACUGCUAGAUGCAGACGAGGGGGAGAGGGAGAGCUCGGCAGCUUGAUGUGCUGUUGUGUGACGUCACAUUAAGCACGUGAGCUGUUGGUGUUUGUGGACAUGUGACCGUAGUUCAGUCAGCAGAAGGAUCUAAAAGAGCCCUUACUGAAUCCAAAAUGACUACACAUCUGCUCCCAGUUUCCCAUAAAAGUCACCUAAGGAUGUAUUUAAGUUGAUCGAAAAGAAAAAAAUAAUGAUUCUCAAUUAUUCUCCUCUGAAAUGGAUUCCUUCAUUUAAUCUAUUUUGCCUUUAGGGUGUUUCAUUUCCAAGGAGAUGCAACUCUGUGGGCUGUCGGCCAUUAAUUGUAAUAUAUUUAUGUUUAUAUAUAGCCUCAAUAUAGUGCUGAGGGUAUACAUGUGUUUAUCCACACUAUAUCUCAGUUAUUAACAGUCUGUUGGCCUUUUUUUUAAAAUGUGUUUGAGAGGGUCCAAGGACAGCGCUUGUCAGAUGCCCCACAGAUUGUAAAACCCUCUGAGGCAGUUUUGUGAUCUGCACUAUUGGGCUUUAAAUCAAUUGAAUGUUUUCCUCCACUCGCUCAGUCUCCUGAAAAUUGCUCCUGGAACUGAAAACCAGUCAAAUUUCCUAAAAACACACUUGGCCAAUAGACAAAACAAAUGUCCUUUUGGAAUGACGACCAAUAAUUAAAUGUUCAAGUUGACGACUGACAGUGGAGUCAAUAUUCACAUGGUAGGUCACAGUACAGCCCUGAUACCCUGCUGUGCGUAGGCUAGUCUAGCUGAGUCGAGAAGCCCUGAGGUCAUUGACCUAUUUCUGCCUAAGAGCUGCUGUAACACCUGGAUGGUGCAUGUGUGUGUUUGUGUGUGUGUGUCCCCCUGUCUCUCUGGGGCAUUACUGUACAGCUCUGUUUGGUGCCUGCUGGUAGGAACACACACUCUCUCCCUCCUCCUGUCUCCCAGCUCCUUCCCCCACUCUCCAUCUUUUCAUAGAGCAGCAAUUUCCCAGCACACACACACACACACACACACACACACACACACACACACACACACACACACACACGCAGGCACACACACACAAACACACACACACACACACACACACACACACACACACACACACACACACACACACACACACACGCAGACACACACGGUCCUUUCUCUAUCACUCCCAGGUGCACACCCGCUGAGAUGUCCAGUGCUGAGUGUUGCUGGAUCUGCGUCCACAGCAGGACAUGCGCACACGUGUACACUCACUCUCUCUCACGCACACACACACACACACACACGCGUGGGCACACCUCCACAGAUCCUGUUACACUAGACGUGUUCGCAGCGGGGUGAACCCGGUUCGAACAGCUCGCGAGAAAGUCUAAUGAUUGAUGAUAAGACCAGAAUAUCUGCAGCCACAGCAAAAUCACACAAACAGGUUAUCUGGGGCCUCCAGGCGCCGCGCUCCUUCCCAUGAAGGAGAGCAGAGGGCCCGGGAUCAUUAGCGUGCACGCACACACUACUGGGUCCUUCAAACCCACUACCAACAGACCUGGGCACGGACUUAAAGCACGAGUGCCGGCAGAUUGUCAUGCACACAGAGCAACCCCCCCCUGUACUUUGGGAGUUUCUUGCUGAACUGCUGAGGAGGCAGAGCAGGUAAGCAGGUACGCCAGCAGUGGGGCAGAGGUGCUGUUUGUCUUAUGAGCAGUAGCACCACAGCAGACACACACACACACACACACACACACACACACACACACGUGCACCCAGUGCUGGUGGGCGACGAUGUCCACCAGUCAGUGAAUGUCGCUGGUGGAGUGUGUUUGUCGUGUCCCCGCGGGGCCGAGGUGUGUUGUGUGUUGCUCCUGCACAAGCGGUGUGAUUGGAGUCGUUCCCAAUGACGUAAGGCGGAGAGCAGUGUUCUCAUACACAGCGGUGAUGUAAUGGACUGUGAAGGUACUAGUCAGGCCCUUUCUUCAUGCUCCCUCCUCCUCUCUACCUCUCUCUCCCCCCUCCUCUUCCUCUGUUCCCAUCUCGACAUCUUUUCUGUUUUUUUGUCUCUUCGUCUUGGCAGGCUUCUCCUUCUACUCCUCUGGGAACCGAGACCCAACAGCUCCCUCGCUCGGUCAUAAAGGGAGGUGGAGCUCCACGCUGUGUCUCCAGCGCUCCAUCAUCUCCACCCAUCUCGUUCCACCAGUUCGGCCCGCCCUCCGUCCCUCUUUCCCUCCUUUGCGCAUCGUUUGGUGGAUACUUUCUAGAGACACGCGGCCCUUUUGUCACGUAAACUGUCAGAGACGUGACACAUUUAUUAGACUCCAGUUCCCACUAAGGAGUCCCGAACCAGUGCUCCACCUCCUCGUCGCUUCCUUUCUCCCUGCCUUCAUCAAAGGAACCCACCAGCCCCGAGGAGGGGGGGUCCACAAUGAGACAGACAAAACCCUCCCAGCCCUACUGGACCAUCCCGGUGUGAUGCAGACGCGAAUGCAUUCAGUGUUCUGCUGCACGCGCACUUCUUCUGGAAGACCGACGAUGUCACCGUCUUCCCAAGGAAGCUUCAAAAGCGGAACAGGAGAAGAAAGACAGACAAACACACACACACACACACACACACAUAAGAACAGCGGGGUGGGGGCCCACUACAUAAAUAUCAAAUUACCAAACACAUCAAACGCACAGAGGAUGAAAUAUUGAUAACUUUGAGACAUUUAUGUAACCCACAAUGGUGCCUUAUAUAAGUGUUCCAUUUACAGAGAUGCGCAUGGGGGGCAUUGUUUCCCUUCUUCUUCUUCUUCUUCUUCUAACAGUAAAGGUGUAUGUUGGCAGCGGAGGCGGGGAGCGCGUGAGAGAAGUUUGGAGAAGCGGGUUCCCUCUCCGGCGAACGAGCUGCUUCAGAGCACGUGACCCGCAGACACGUCCUCAUCUGGUCACAUGUGGACAGCAGCACCAAGCAGCGCUGCUGGAUGUGCGUUCACGACGGGGGAGGGAGGAGGAAGGAGGGGAGAUGGGGAGAGAUGGGGAGGAGGGGUGUCUGUCAAUCGCUGCGCGAUGGAGGCUGCUCCCUCCGAGCAUGUGGAGCAGACGGGGAGGUUUUGGGCUUCUGUCUCUGCUUUGAGCUGCAGAUCACACAGCCGCACGCACAAACAAGCAAGGAGAUAUGGGCUCCCUCUAAUUAAUUGUAAAAGAGGAUGCUGAGUGUGUGUGCGUGUGUGCGUGCGUGCGUGUGUGUGUGGUUUCGUGAUUGCAUGCGUGAGGAGAAAUGAUUGCGGGAGAAAACAAGAGGGGGAGACGUAAGUUUGCAGCCACUCUUCGUGGUUUUUCCUUUGAAACUGCUGUUCCCCACUAAGGCCGAAUAAAUUAGAGCUCUAAAUAGGAAUAAUAAUGAGAGCAUACAUUAUUUCUGUUGUUGGUACUGGUUGAUGUUGUUGUUGUUUGUGUCGGCAGGAAGGCUCAGAUCUCAUAUAUGCAAAAAAAUUAAAAAAGGUAACUUCCCUGCAUGUUUUAUAAGUUUGCAGGAUCGUUUUAAUGGUGACCCAAAAAGAUGUCCUAGAUAUUUGGGGAACAUCCUUUUGAAAAAUUCCUGAAACUACAGACAGAGAGACAGAGGGGAAGAGAGAGGGAGGCAGAAAGGGAGAGAGAGAGAGAGAGGGAGGGAAAGGUGAUAUGGAAUGUAACCGUGUGGUGAAUGAUGUUUUCAUUUUAAGAAUCUCUCUGCUCUGACAAUCUUCUCUCAUGUCCUCUCAUGAUUGCAAAGCCUUUUUAUUCAUUUGCAAAUGUUAAAAGUUCUUAACACAUUGAAGAUGAUGACGCUCCAUCAUUAUCAAUUCCCAUUUAAAGCUGACAGCCCCAUCUGCUGGCCUCUGGCAAUGACAACCACGGGACCCCCUCCUCCUCAGCAUGUGAUGGGACCGGCCCCCCCUCUGGGAAUCCCCACUGCAGGUUAUGGACCUUCUUCGGCUUCACCGUCCAGGAUGCACAUCCCACCCCAAAGUCCAACCUGAGCCUUCACGGCCUCGUGUUGCACAGCUGACAUCAGGGAGGUCAUGAGUGUGCAAAUGGUUUAUUUAUCUUAACAAGCUGCAAAGUUCUUGUUUCCUUCUUUAUAUUCUUCAUUAUUAGGGCACCCCCCCUCUGAGAAAGGGUUGAGUGUUAGAUCAUUAUAAUCAAUUAAAAGUAUUGCUAUUAAGAAGACAUUUCACUCAUGUAAAAUAAUAUAAUAUGAUAACAUAGACCAGACAAAAACGCUCUGUGGUGGGGAAAAAGUGACAUCCAUUUAAUGAACUUGUGACAUCUUCUAGAAUUACGAGAAUACAGACCACCAAGCCAAACAACGUGGAGGUGGGUAAGCUCUCUUUAACAUCAGCAGCUUCUGGAGCCACAAACACAUAUGCACGCAAAAAGAGAGCCGUGCACACAGAACCUCGUUGCUGGGCAACCCGCUGAUUGUUGAUGUUCUCAUCUGGAGCGUGCGCUGCCGUGCUCAGCUGUCUCAACCUGUCUCGGUUCGGGUCUGCUCGUUUCUCUCCGGCCUCCACUUCUCUGCUCUCAUCAAAGCAAACUCUGAGCAGCCUGCUUGGCCCUCACGUAGAAGUUCAUGCCGAGAGCAUUUUACAACGUCACGUGUUUGCAGACGCAGCCCUGCAGCUAUUACAUAGUAGUUAUGUUUGAUUUGGGUCACUUAGCGUGAUAUCCUGGUGGUGCAUUUAAUCAGGGAUUCAUUUAAGUUGGCUGCAUCUGUUAUUCUGUGCUUUUAUUUGUCUUUAUUUAGAGGCACAAUAAUUGCAACCAUUGCCCACAAUGCUGCAGUCCUUAAUAUUAUGUCUUUGCCGUGCAUUUUUUCACCGUUCACUAACUGCAUGCUGACACUCAGGAUGUCAGUGUAAACUUUGAACAUCUAGCUUAACACACCAGCAGCUUCCUGUCUUCUCAUUGGGCUCCUCUGUUUUUCACAUAUAGAGUUUAACACGACCAUUCUGUGAAUCUUGUCCCUACUUUGUAACAAGUGCCAAAUUACAUUUUAGCAUUUUACAACACAGAUCUUUUCAAAUAAGGAAAUCCCAAAUGAACUUUGCCCUUGUUAGGGGUCCUGCCCUGCAGAGGUGAUAGCUUUCCCUGACUGUAGAUGGCGUACGUUAGCAUCUGCGUUGAGGUGGAUAAAAGGACAUUUGAACUGCGUCAGAAUGUAAUAUGUUCAACAUAUCACAUUAUGUCUGAUGUUUAUGUUUGUCC